rnacentral:rRNA from 1 species
UACGUAGGGUGCAAGCGUUGUCCGGAAUUACUGGGCGUAAAGAGCUCGUAGGCGGUUUGGUCGCGUUCGUCUGUGAAAUCCCGCAGCUCAACUGCGGGCUUGCAGGCGAUACGGGCAGACUUGAGUACUGCAGGGGAGACUGGAAUUCCUGGUGUAGCGGUGAAAUGCGCAGAUAUCAGGAGGAACACCGGUGGCGAAGGCGGGUCUCUGGGCCGUAACUGACGCUGAGGAGCGAAAGCAUGGGGAGCGAACAGG